rnacentral:rRNA from 1 species
AUUGAACGCUGGCGGCAGGCCUAACACAUGCAAGUCGAGCGGAUGAAGGGAGCUUGCUCCUGGAUUCAGCGGCGGACGGGUGAGUAAUGCCUAGGAAUCUGCCUGGGAGUGGGGGAUAACGUCCGGAAACGGGCGCUAAUACCGCAUACGUCCUGAGGGAGAAAGUGGGGGAUCUUCGGACCUCACGCUAUCAGAUGAGCCUAGGUCGGAUUAGCUAGUUGGUGGGGUAAAGGCCUACCAAGGCGACGAUCCGUAACUGGUCUGAGAGGAUGAUCAGUCACACUGGAACUGAGACACGGUCCAGACUCCUACGGGAGGCAGCAGUGGGGAAUAUUGGGCGAUGGGCGAAAGCCUGAUACAGCCAUGCCGCGUGUGUGAAGAAGGUGUUCGGAUUGUAAAGCACUUUAAGUUGGGGGGAAGGGCAGUAAGUUAAUACCUUGCUGUUUUGACGUUACCAACAGAAUAAGCACCGGCUAACUUCGUG